GUGGGGGGGUUCAGCACAGCUGGAUGGGGGGCUGAGGGCGGUCCCUGCGCCCACCACGCUCACCUGGUCACGGAACAUGAGGGAGAUGAUCUCGAGGACGUGCAGAGCCCACUGCUGCUCAGCCGGCGCGCUGGCCAGGAACUUGAGCAGGUCGUCCAUGCCACUGAUGUGCAGAGCCCACAGCACGCGGUCGUGCAUGCUGGCAUCGCCAUCCACACCCUGGGGGGCAGCACAGGGUGGGGGGCAGCACGCAGGGCACCUUGCCGUGGGGAUCCCUGUGUCUGUCCCGCCCCCUCCCAUUACCUGCUCCGCAGAGGGGUCGGGGGGCACGUGCAGCACAUUGCGCACCAGCAGCAGGAUCCGCUCGAUCAGCAGCGUGUCCUCCUCCUGCCUCUGCUCCCAGUCCUGCAGUGCGCGGCUGUCAGAACUCCCAUAGACCUCCCCGGCCCCCAGCCCCACAGCUGCCCCCCGACCCUCAGCCCCAUAGAGCCCCCCCCGGAUCCCCAGCACCCACCAGCUGCAGCACUUCGUACAGCUUCUCGCUCAGCACCCCAAACACCUUCUCACUGGCGAACGCCUGCAGAAAACCCUUUGUGAGCUCUGUGUGUGUGGGGGGAGGGUUUGAAGACCCCCCCACCCGGAGAUCACCCCACGGCUGCACCUCACCUCUUUGUACGCCUGCAGGUAGGACAGCACCUGCAGGAAGUGGUGCCGGGCGGUGGCAUCCGAUGGCACUUUGCCGAAGCAGAGCAGCGCCGGCUGCGUCAGGUUCACCAUCAGCCUAUGGGGGGGAGUUGGGGGGGAGGGGCAGGACUCGGGACCGCUGCCCACGUGGGAGCGCAGCCCCGCACCAUCCCCGCAGCUCCCCGGUACCUGACGACGGCAUCGAAAAGGGUCCGGUCCUGCGGGUACUGAACGAGCAGCGGCAGCAGAUCGUUCUGCAGGAUCUGCGCUGCUCCCAGCUGCUGCCGCACGUCGCGGCUCUCAUCCUCGUGCCGGAGGUAGCCCAGGGCGCUGCAGGUGGCCAGCAGCUCGCAGUUCAUCAUGUACCAGUCCAUGCAGCGCGGGGCGGGCGCGGGGAGCC
rnacentral:lncRNA from 1 species